GUCCCUGUAGCGUAUUGGAUAGCACACGUUGGACUUCUACUCCAAAGGUCGUGGUUUCGAUUUACUCCUGGGAUG